CUGUCAAAUUAACCCCCCUAAUUCUGUCACACUCACCUUCUCUCACUCUGUCACACUCUCCCCCAAAACCCUGCCACACUUAUCCUGUCACAUUAAUGCCUUUAAUCCUGUCACACUCACCCUGUCCCAAUAAUCUCCCCCCCUUAAUCCGGUCACACUCCAUCCUCCAGCCAUGCCACAUUUACCCUUCACCCCAACCCUGACACACUUUGUCC